GACAACAUGGCCGAGUGGUUAAGGCGACAGACUCGAAUUAGCAAAUCUGUUGGAUUCGUCCGCGGAGGUUCGAAUCCUCCUGUUGUCG